GAGGGAAUCUUCGGCAAUGGACGGAAGUCUGACCGAGCAACGCCGCGUGAGUGAAGAAGGUUUUCGGAUCGUAAAGCUCUGUUGUUAGAGAAGAACGUUGGUAGGAGUGGAAAAUCUACCAAGUGACGGUAACUAACCAGAAAGGGACGGCUAACUACGUGCCAGCAGCCGCGGUAAUACGUAGGUCCCGAGCGUUGUCCGGAUUUAUUGGGCGUAAAGCGAGCGCAGGCGGUUCUUUAAGUCUGAAGUUAAAGGCAGUGGCUUAACCAUUGUGCGCUUUGGAAACUGGCGGACUUGAGUGCGGAAGGGGAGGGUGGAAUUCCAUGUGUAGCGGUGAAAUGCGUAGAUAUAUGGAGGAACACCGGUGGCGAAAGCGGCUCUCUGGUCUGUAACUGACGCUGAGGCUCGAAAGCGUGGGGAGCAAACAGG
rnacentral:rRNA from 1 species